rnacentral:ncRNA from 2 species
AGGUGGUGACACGGGGGCCGCAUGCUGCAGAGCAGCGUGUGGCUGAGAGGAGGCUCAGCCUCGACCGGACGAACGUUUACCGGGUAAUGCCGGCGCACGGAUGUCACUCAACCCGUGCC